UACGUAGGUGGCGAGCGUUGUCCGGAUUUAUUGGGUUUAAAGGGUGCGUAGGCGGCUUUGUAAGUCAGUGGUGAAAUACUCCAGCUUAACUGGAGGGGUGCCAUUGAUACUGCGGAGCUUGAGUACAGAUGAGGUAGGCGGAAUUGACGGUGUAGCGGUGAAAUGCGCAGAUAUCAGGAGGAACACCGAUGGCGAAGGCAGGUCUCUGGGCAUUAACUGACGCUGAGGAGCGAAAGCAUGGGGAGCGAACAGG
rnacentral:rRNA from 1 species